AUUGAACGCUGGCGGCAGGCCUAACACAUGCAAGUCGAACGAGUGGCGGACGGGUGAGUAAUGUCUGGGCAACUGCCUGAUGGAGGGGGCUAACUACUGGAAACGGUAGCUAAUACCGCAUACCAUCAGAUGUGCCCAGAUGGGAUUAGCUAGUUGGUGGGGGAACGGCUCACCAAGGCGACGAUCCCUAGCUGGUCUGAGAGGAUGACCGACCACACGGGAAGUGGGACACGGUCCAUACUCCUACGGGAGGCAGCAUUGGGGAAUAUUGCACAAUGGGCGCAAGCCUGAUGCAGCCAUGCCGCGUGUAUGAAGAAGGCCUUCGGGUUGUAAAUUACUUUCAGCGGGGAGGCGUUACCCGCAGAAGAAGCACCGGCUAACUCCGUGCCAGCAGCCGCGGUAAUAC
rnacentral:rRNA from 1 species